rnacentral:ncRNA from 1 species
GGUCAAGUGAAGAAGCGCAUACGGUGGAUGCCUUGGCAGUCAGAGGCGAUGAAAGACGUGGUAGCCUGCGAUAAGCUUCGGGGAGUCGGCAAACAGACUUUGAUCCGGAGAUCUCUGAAUGGGGGAACCCACCUGGCAAGUCAGGUAUCUUUGCUGAAUACAUAGGGCAAGAGGCGAACCAGGGGAACUGAAACAUCUAAGUACCCUGAGGAAAAGAAAUCAACCGAGAUUCCCUUAGUAGUGGCGAGCGAAUUCGGAAGAGCCUUGCAGUGAUAGUCAGUGUGUUAACAAAACGGAAUGGAAAGUCCGGCCAUAGUGGGUGAUAGCCCCGUAUGUGAAAACGCAUUGGUGGUACUAGGCUGCAGACAAGUAGGGCGGGGCACGAGAAACCCUGUCUGAAUAUGGGGGGACCAUCCUCCAAGGCUAAAUACUCAUCAUCGACCGAUAGUGAACAAGUACCGUGAGGGAAAGGCGAAAAGAACCCCGGGAGGGGAGUGAAAUAGAUCCUGAAACCGCAUGCUUACAAAAAGUCGGAGCCCUUAGGGGUGACUGCGUACCUUUUGUAUAAUGGGUCAGCGACUUACAUUCAGUGGCAAGCUUAACCGAAUAGGGAAGGCGUAGAGAAAUCGAGUCCGAAUAGGGCGACAUAGUCGCUGGGUGUAGACCCGAAACCAAGUGAUCUAUCCAUGGCCAGGUUGAAGGUGCGGUAACACGUACUGGAGGACCGAACCCACUAAUGUUGAAAAAUUAGGGGAUGAGCUGUGGAUAGGGGUGAAAGGCUAAACAAACCUGGAAAUAGCUGGUUCUCUCCGAAAACUAUUUAGGUAGUGCCUCAAGUAUUACCUGCGGGGGUAGAGCACUGUUAUGGCUAGGGGGUCAUCGCGACUUACCAAACCAUUGCAAACUCCGAAUACCGAGACGGACUGUAUGGGAGACACACGGCGGGUGCUAACGUCCGUCGUGAAAAGGGAAACAACCCAGACCCACAGCUAAGGUCCCAAAUUUUGUGCUAAGUGGAAAACCAUGUGGAAAGGCACAGACAGCCAGGAGGUUGGCUUAGAAGCAGCCACCCUUUAAAGAAAGCGUAAUAGCUCACUGGUCGAGUCGGUCUGCGGGGAAGAUUUAACGGGGCUAAGCACAAAACCGAAGCUUGGGGUGCAUAACUUUGUUAUGCGCGGUAGAGGAGCGUUCCGUAAGCCGUUGAAGGUGGAUUGAGAAGUCUGCUGGAGGUAUCGGAAGUGCGAAUGCUGACAUGAGUAACGAUAAUGCGGGUGAAAAACCCGCACGCCGAAAGCCCAAGGUUUCCUUGCGCAACGUUAAUCGGCGCAGGGUGAGUCGGCCCCUAAGGCGAGGCCGAAAGGCGUAGUCGAUGGAAAACAGGUUAAUAUUCCUGCACCUCGCGUUAGUGCGAUGGAGGGACGGAGAAGGCUAGGCCAGCUUGGCGUUGGUUGUCCUGGGGAAAGGCGGUAGGUUUGGAUCUUUGGCAAAUCCGGGAUCCUUUA